rnacentral:rRNA from 1 species
UACGUAGGGACCAAGCGUUGUUCGGAUUUACUGGGCGUAAAGGGCGCGUAGGCGGCGUGGUAAGUCACUUGUGAAAUCUCUGAGCUUAACUCAGAACGGCCAAGUGAUACUGCUGUGGCUAGAGUCCGGUAGGGGAGCAUGGAAUUCCUGGUGUAGCGGUGAAAUGCGCAGAUAUCAGGAAGAACACCCGUGGCGAAGGCGGCUCUCUGGGACGGUACUGACGCUGAGACACGAAAGCGUGGGGAGCGAACAGG